rnacentral:rRNA from 1 species
UGGGGAAUUUUCCGCAAUGGGCGAAAGCCUGACGGAGCAAUGCCGCGUGGAGGUGGAAGGCCUACGGGUCGUCAACUUCUUUUCUCGGAGAAGAAACAAUGACGGUAUAUGAGGAAUAAGCAUCGGCUAACUCUGUCCCAG